AGCUAACCCAUCCCUGUUACAAAAGGGUGGGACGAUUUUAAAGUAGAGGUGACACACCUAUCGAGCCCAGAGAUAGCUGGUUAUUCAAAAGACGGAUUUAAGUCCAACUUUAAGGCCCCCCCCCAGUAAUACUAAAUAACCCAACAACUUAAAAGCCAUUCAAAUAAGGUACAGCCUAUUUGAACAAGGAAACAGCCUACAAUAUAGGGUAAUGACCACACACAUGACCAAGUGGGCCUAAAAGCAGCCAACUUUUAUAGAGCGUCCAAGCCUCACCACCAACCAUCCUCAAUUCCACCAUUCACGCACAACCCACAACCACCACUGAAUGACCCCAUACCUAUAUGGGAAACAUCAUGCUAGAACUAGUAACAAGAAGACGAACUUCUCCAAAAUGUAAGCGUAAGCCAAAAAUGAACCA
rnacentral:rRNA from 1 species